rnacentral:rRNA from 1 species
AACGAACGCUGGCGGCACGCCUAACACAUGCAAGUCGAACGCCCUCAGCAAUGGGGGAGUGGCGGACGGGUGAGUAACGCGUGGGAACCUGCCUUGUGGUGCGGGACAACUCCGGGAAACCGGGGCUAAUACCGCAUGAUGCCGUGGCAACACGGCUAAAGAUUUAUCGCCAUGAGAGGGGCCCGCGUCGGAUUAGGUAGUUGGUGGGGUAACGGCCUACCAAGCCAUCGAUCCGUAGCUGGUCUGAGAGGAUGGCCAGCCACACUGGGACUGAGACACGGCCCAGACUCCUACGGGAGGCAGCAGUGGGGAAUCUUGGACAAUGGGGGCAACCCUGAUCCAGCGAUGCCGCGUGGGUGAUGAAGGCCUUCGGGUUGUAAAGCCCUUUCGGCGGGGACGAUAGUGACGGUACCCGCAGAAGAAGCCUCGGCUAACUCCGUGCCAGCCGCCGCGGUAAAAC